UACGUAGGGUGCAAGCGUUGUCCGGAAUUAUUGGGCGUAAAGAGCUCGUAGGCGGUCUGUCGCGUCUGGUGUGAAAAUCCAGGGCUUAACCCUGGACCUGCAUCGGGUACGGGCAGACUAGAGUGCGGUAGGGGAGAUCGGAAUUCCUGGUGUAGCGGUGAAAUGCGCAGAUAUCAGGAGGAACACCGGUAGCGAAGGCGAAUCUCUGGGCCGUAACUGACGCUGAGGAGCGAAAGCAUGGGGAGCGAACAGG
rnacentral:rRNA from 1 species